CAGAUGGAAAGGAUAGACCUGCGACUAAAUUUGUGAGCUGGAAUGUGAAGGGACUCAACCAUCCUGUAAAGCAAAAUAAGAGGUUAUUGAGAACCAUGAAGGCUUUUCUUAUAGUUGCUUGUGUCUUUGGAAUCUGCUGUGCCGUGCUCGCAGAUGAAGAUCAUCGAGAGAAGCGCUCUUCAAGCCGUUCCUCAGAGAGAGGGUUUGGAGGCUUCUACAACCCAUACCAGUUUCAGCGUCCCUUUCCAUCAUACAUACCCAUGAAUCAGCAACCUCCGAACAACAAUGCCCUCAUCAACC